ACGACGCUGGCGGCGUGCUUAAUACAUGCAAGUCAACUUGACUUUAGAUAGCAAUAUCGAAAAGUAGGGUGGCGCACGGGUGCGUAACGCGUAGGUAAUCUGCCCUGAGGUCUGACAUAACCCGUCGAAAGGCGGGCUAACAUCAGAUGAUAUAUAAUCACGACAUCGUGGAAAUAUCAAAUCUUCGGAGCCUUGGGAUGAGCCUGCGUCUGAUUAGGUAGUUGGCGGAGUAAUAGCCCACCAAGCCUACGAUCAGUAGCUGGUCUGAGAGGAUGAUCAGCCACACUGGAACUGAGACACGGUCCAGACUCCUACGGGAGGCAGCAGUAAGGAAUAUUGCUCAAUGGGGGGAAACCCUGAAGCAGCAACGCCGCGUGAAGGAUGAAAUACUUUUGUAUGUAAACUUCUGUAAGAUGGGAAAAAUAUUCUCCUCGGGAGAAUUGAUUGUACCAUCAGAGUAAGCCCCGGCUAACUACGUG
rnacentral:rRNA from 1 species